rnacentral:tmRNA from 1 species
GGGGAUGACAGGCCUCGACAGGUCAUUGAUACGCACAACAAUCGGGCUGAGGACGGUGGGUCACCUCACAAAUCAUCCGACCGCAAAUAAGUGCAAACUUAUUUAAUGGAGCAAAGACCGGCCUUACCCGCCUUUUUGGUGGAAUGGGGCCGUAUCUUGUUCCUGCUUUUGCCUAACGGCUUAAGCAACUUGUUGCGAUAGCAAUAUCGCAGCCAUCGCCGCGUCUGUUGCUUGAGCGGAUGCAUCAGCGGUGUCAUACAUUCAAGCUUGGCAAACUGCGCUCGAUUGACGCGCUUGCGACAAACCAUCAAUCGGGAACAACCUAUGUGUUGCCGGAUGAAAAAAUAUGCUUGUUCCAAAAAUUACAACAAUCCGGAUACGCCCGUAUCAAUUGUCAUGCGUCAUUAUGAUCUGGACGCGGGUUCAACUCCCGCCAUCUCCACCA